GACCAAAGGGGGCGAGCGCAAGCAGCUUCCACCGAAGGAGGAGCCUGCGUCCGAUUAGCUAGUUGGUGGGGUAACGGCCUACCAAGGCGACGAUCGGUAGCCGGCCUGAGAGGGCGACCGGCCACACUGGAACUGAGACACGGUCCAGACUCCUACGGGAGGCAGCAGUGGGGAAUAUUGCGCAAUGGGCGAAAGCCUGACGCAGCGACGCCGCGUGGGUGAUGAAGGCCUUCGGGUUGUAAAGCCCUGUCGGGUGGAACGAAUGACUUAGCGGCGAAUAACCGCUAGGUGUGACGGUACCACCGAAGGAAGCCCCGGCUAACUACGUGCCAGCAGCCGCGGUAAGACGUAGGGGGCGAGCGUUGUUCGGAUUUACUGGGCGUAAAGCGCGCGUAGGCGGCCAGAUAAGUCGGGUGUGAAAUCCCUCGGCUCAACCGAGGGUCCGCAUCCGAUACUGCUUGGCUCGAGUCUAGGAGAGGAAAGCGGAAUUCCCAGUGUAGCGGUGAAAUGCGUAGAUAUUGGGAGGAACACCGGUGGCGAAGGCGGCUUUCCGGACUAGUACUGACGCUGAGGCGCGAAAGCUAGGGGAGCGAACGGGAUUAGAUACCCCGGUAGUCCUAGCCGUAAACGAUGGGCACUAGGUGUGGGAGGUAUUGACCCCUUCCGCGCCGAAGCUAACGCAUUAAGUGCCCCGCCUGGGGAGUACGGCCGCAAGGCUAAAACUCAAAGGAAUUGACGGGGGCCCGCACAAGCGGUGGAGCGUGUGGUUUAAUUCGACGCAACGCGAAGAACCUUACCAGGGCUUGACAUCCCACGAACCUGCCUGAAAGGGCGGGGUGCCCGCAAGGGAGCGUGGAGA
rnacentral:rRNA from 1 species